rnacentral:rRNA from 1 species
AUUGAACGCUGGCGGCAGGCCUAACACAUGCAAGUCGAACGAGUGGCGGACGGGUGAGUAAUGUCUGGGAAACUGCCUGAUGGAGGGGGAUAACUACUGGAAACGGUAGCUAAUACCGCAUCCCAUCAGAUGUGCCCAGAUGGGAUUAGCUAGUAGGUGGGGUAAUGGCUCACCUAGGCGACGAUCCCUAGCUGGUCUGAGAGGAUGACCAGCAACACUGGAACUGAGACACGGGCCAGACUCCUACGGGAGGCAGCAGUGGGGAAUAUUGCACAAUGGGCGAAAUCCUGAUGCAGCCAUGCCGCGUGUGGGAAGAAGGCCGUCGGGUGGUAAAGCACUUUCAGCGAGGAGGCGUUACGCGCAGAAGAAGCACCGGCUAACUCCGUGCCAGCCGCCGCGGUAAUAC